CAGCAGCCACGGGAAUACGGAGGGGGCUAGCGUUGUUCGGAAUUACUGGGCGUAAAGCGCACGUAGGCGGAUCAGAAAGUCAGAGGUGAAAUCCCAGGGCUCAACCUUGGAACUGCCUUUGAAACUCCUGGUCUUGAGGUCGAGAGAGGUGAGUGGAAUUCCGAGUGUAGAGGUGAAAUUCGUAGAUAUUCGGAGGAACACCAGUGGCGAAGGCGGCUCACUGGCUCGAUACUGACGCUGAGGUGCGAAAGCGUGGGGAGCAAACAGGAUUAGAUACCCCUGUAGUCCCUGUCUCUUAUAC
rnacentral:rRNA from 1 species